UUGUGGUAUAUUGAGUUUGAUAGUCCUUCUUAGCCAUCUUUAGCUCCCGGUUUUUAAGGACUAUCUUUCUGUUUAAUUCUCAA
rnacentral:sRNA from 1 species